GUGGGGAAUUUUGGACAAUGGGCGCAAGCCUGAUCCAGCCAUGCCGCGUGCAGGAUGAAGGCCUUCGGGUUGUAAACUGCUUUUGUACGGAACGAAACGGCUCUUUCUAAUAAAGAGGGCUAAUGACGGUACCGUAAGAAUAAGCACCGGCUAACUACGUGCCAGCAGCCGCGGUAAUACGUAGGGUGCGAGCGUUAAUCGGAAUUACUGGGCGUAAAGCGUGCGCAGGCGGUGAUGUAAGACAGAUGUGAAAUCCCCGGGCUCAACCUGGGAACUGCAUUUGUGACUGCAUCGCUGGAGUGCGGCAGAGGGGGAUGGAAUUCCGCGUGUAGCAGUGAAAUGCGUAGAUAUGCGGAGGAACACCGAUGGCGAAGGCAAUCCCCUGGGCCUGCACUGACGCUCAUGCACGAAAGCGUGGGGAGCAAACAGGAUUAGAAACCCGGGUAGUCC
rnacentral:rRNA from 1 species